CCCGGGAUUUUCAAAAAACCAAUUUAAAUUAAAGAAUUUGUGAUUUUAACUUGAAUGUAAUUUAUUUUGAGUUUUUACAUUAAAAAAAAUGAAAAUGUAGGUGUGUUUCUAACUAUAUAUGAGUUUAGAAGACUCUUUUUUUAAAAUUUGAGACCAAAUAUCACUUCGGGUUUUUAGUGCGAUCAUUUCAAGCGAGCAAAAGUGAAAAUAGAAAAGCAGAAAGUUUCCGGUGAGGAAAAAUACUUCAUUCUAGCAGUGUCCAGCUAUCUAAGAUUAGUUUGCAUUGUAAGGGAAUUGUAUUAGUGUCCGAUAACAUGUAAAUUGAAAUGGAAGUCUUCUUCCAAGAAUAGAACACAACAAUGAGCCACACUUGAUAGUUUUUCAAUACAGACGCAUUUUGCCGGAAAACGAAUCUGACUUCAAACCACGAAAUUUUAACAGGAAAGAGACAAUUUGAUGAGCUUUCAUUCAAGAGGUCCCUCGUUGCUGAACGAAAAUUAGGGCCGGAGCUAUGAACCAUAACGUUAACAUUACCGCCUAUGGAAAAUGCAUUAGUGGACUAUACCCAAGUACAGCACCUGAAUCACAUGUGACUGAAGAAGAUUUGAUGUCCAAACCCUGCAAGAGUGGAAGUGCAAAUGAAUCGGAUGUUACACCACAAGAGUGCUCCUUUGAGAUCGAAGAUGAUGAUGGAACUAAAUUUCUCGCAAGCCCAGUUGCAGCCAAGAAGAC